UAGAUCCUUGAGUUGUACAUACUCAGAUGUACGUCGCUUUGGACAAAAGUGUCUGCUAAAUGAAAUUGUUGAAUUGUAGAUCUGUGCUUGUGAGUAAAUGUAAAUUUCUACUUUGAAAAACUGGCUCAUAAAAUGAUUUGCAAGUAAAAUAUGAUCGGAAAAUUAAAACUCAUAGUGAUAUAGCAGAGUAAAAAGUACAAUGUUUCCAUCUGAAAUGGGGCAUAUUUGAAGUAAAUUUAAAUAUACAUUGUUAUAUAGUCUACCCACAAACUAUCAAUAAUUAGCAUUGACAGCAUUUGACUAAAUGUAUUGCGUUACAUUCCCCCUCUGGUCUGUAGAAACAACCUCAACCUCCUUAUCCGGCAUUUUUCUAAUAAGCUCCACGACCAGAAACUUUGUAAAUCUAGGAUCAAUAUUGGAGUUGCUUUUGAAAGAGAUCAGAACGCAGAAAGGUUUCAAGACCGAUGCAGAGCUGGUUAUACUGAAGCUUCAGUUUCUGUGACAGGACAACCUGCGUUCAUAUCGACUAUAGAGGGGAGGGGGCGAGGGGAAACAGCUCUCUCUAAUGUUUAGAAUCUGGACUGCAGUACCCAUUUUAAACACAAGGUGUCAGAGGUAAAUAACGCUCCUUUAAUCUGUUAAAAAUGUUUGAAUCAAUAGUUUAGUAUAUAAAAUGAUAGAAAAAAAGUUAAAUGUCUAUCCCCUUUUCUCAAAUCCCUGUUCAACAUCUUCAUAAGUUUUGUUUUGUCUCACAACAAACUAAAGAGGUUCAGUUAAUGAGAGAAAACAUGUAACAAGCAGCACUUCAAAAUAUUGAAAUACUUCAAUAUUUUGUUUUGCUUGAAAAUUGACUUGAAGGAUAAAACAAAGUUACUUUAGAAACAGAAAAGGAAGAAAAAUGUUCAUGAUUAUUUUAGUUUUUUUUAAUUAAAACAACCUAAUUUACAUCUUUAGAAAUAUAAAACUAUGUAAACAUGUAGACUUGAGUCCUCAGUGCAAACAAAAAAAGUAUAAAUAGAUCUUCACUCCUCCUAGAGCCGUCAAGAAGAGUCCCAUCACACUUCAUCCUUUUUUAUCAAUCUGAACCAGAGCUGGUUCUUCAAACUGCGUAUAAAAAAAAAAUCCACCAUACAGCCAUCAGGGCUCUCUCAAGUCCGUAUCUGUCCAAAGAGCCAGUCUACAGGGUCUUUGCCUCUGCAGUCUUUUUCUCUGCUCAUCCUGGGAGACAAGUCCUCCGAGCUGUUCAGACUCAAACUGUAAAGUCUGGAAGUCCUGAGUGCGCGAGGCGACCCUCGAGGAAGUGACGCAGACACAGAGAGCUUCAUCUGAAGCUUUGAGAGGUUCCUCAGCCAGGGGGUCCUCUGGAGCCGGACGUGGCCGCAGCUCGGGAGCUCCACGGGGCAGGCGAGAGCCUGGAUACUGCUCAUGUAGUCCUCCAGAGACUGGGAGCUCUGGGUAGACUGGGCAGAUGAGGGAUGAGUGGCCAGGUCCUCGAGCGUCUCAGUGAUGGUGGGUAAGAGAGGCAGUGAGAGCAGCAGACGUCUGUCGCUCUCACCUUUGAUGCCGCAGGUGUAUGAUUGACACACGCAGAGAGAAA